CCUACGGGACGCAGCAGUGGGAAAUAUUGGGCAAUGGGCGCAAGCCUGACCCAGCAACGCCGCGUGAAGGAAGAAGGCUUUCGGGUUGUAAACUUCUUUUGACAGGGAAGAGCAGAAGACGGUACCUGUCGAAUAAGCCACGGCUAACUACGUGCCAGCAGCCGCGGUAAUACGGAGGAUGCGAGCGUUAUCCGGAUUUAUUGGGUUUAAAGGGUGCGUAGGCGGACUGGAAAGUCAGCGGUAAAAUCGAGAGGCUCAACCUCUUUCCGCCGUUGAAACUGUCGGUCUUGAGUGGGCGAGAAGUA
rnacentral:rRNA from 1 species